rnacentral:rRNA from 1 species
AGAGUUUGAUCCUGGCUCAGGACGAACGCUGGCGGCGCGCUUAACACAUGCAAGUCGAACGGAGUUAUUUUCUUCACUCCGAGCUUUUUGCCAGUUAGCCGGAGCGGCAAUCGGUUUUGCCCAGCAUAAAAAGCAAAACCGAUUUAGGCUCAUAAAGUAAGACUAACACAGAGGGCAGAGAGUUGGGAGUGAAGAAAAUAACUUAGUGGCGAACGGGUGAGUAACGCGUGAGUAACCUGCCCUGGAGUGGGGGACAACAGUUGGAAACGACUGCUAAUACCGCAUAAGCCCACGGCCCGGCAUCGGGCUGAGGGAAAAGGAUUUAUUCGCUUCAGGAUGGACUCGCGUCCAAUUAGCUAGUUGGUGAGGUAACGGCCCACCAAGGCGACGAUUGGUAGCCGGACUGAGAGGUUGAACGGCCACAUUGGGACUGAGACACGGCCCAGACUCCUACGGGAGGCAGCAGUGGGGGAUAUUGCACAAUGGGGGAAACCCUGAUGCAGCGACGCCGCGUGGAGGAAGAAGGUUUUCGGAUUGUAAACUCCUGUCGUUAGGGACGAUAAUGACGGUACCUAACAAGAAAGCACCGGCUAACUACGUGCCAGCAGCCGCGGUAAAACGUAGGGUGCAAGCGUUGUCCGGAAUUACUGGGUGUAAAGGGAGCGCAGGCGGACCGGCAAGUUGGAAGUGAAAACUAUGGGCUCAACCCAUAAAUUGCUUUCAAAACUGCUGGCCUUGAGUAGUGCAGAGGUAGGUGGAAUUCCCGGUGUAGCGGUGGAAUGCGUAGAUAUCGGGAGGAACACCAGUGGCGAAGGCGACCUACUGGGCACCAACUGACGCUGAGGCUCGAAAGCAUGGGUAGCAAACAGGAUUAGAUACCCUGGUAGUCCAUGCCGUAAACGAUGAUUACUAGGUGUUGGAGGAUUGACCCCUUCAGUGCCGCAGUU